rnacentral:rRNA from 1 species
UACAGAGGGUGCAAGCGUUAAUCGGAUUUACUGGGCGUAAAGCGCGCGUAGGUGGCCAAUUAAGUCAAAUGUGAAAUCCCCGAGCUUAACUUGGGAAUUGCAUUCGAUACUGGUUGGCUAGAGUAUGGGAGAGGAUGGUAGAAUUCCAGGUGUAGCGGUGAAAUGCGUAGAGAUCUGGAGGAAUACCGAUGGCGAAGGCAGCCAUCUGGCCUAAUACUGACACUGAGGUGCGAGAGCGUGGGGAGCAAACAGG